ensembl:lncRNA
GGAGGUAGAAACACAUGAAAGGAGCUGCACCAUCAUCUGUCUGCCAGGGGAGUGGACCUGUCCACAGGAGCAAGAAAAUGGAAAUAAUUCCAUCCAGCCUGGGAUCUAUAAGAGCAACUAAAGGGGAUGAAAAUGAUCUAACACACCGGUCUGGCACCCAUCAAAGGAAAAUAGGUGUAGCUGUUGCUGCAAGAGGAGGAGAAAUUAAUUCCUACCCAAUGGUCCCAACCCAGUGCUUGUGUACCACAGCUUGCCUGAACAAAGGAUGGCGAAUGAACUGCUUCAGAAGCAUGUAUAGCACCCCAGCCUUGACCAGUGCAUGGACAACUUCAACAAUUAAAAGCCUGUAUUAAAGAUAAAUCGUAUCCUCUACAUCUCAGGUGCAAAAGGAAACCUGAAAUACAGGCUUUUUAGUAAAUGACUGUUCUCUUACCGUAUAGUUCGUAGGAUUCUGCAGAUUCUGACCUCUGGUAACAAUGAAUGCCAAAGGGAUGGAGCUUGGCACUGGGGGAAAGCUAGCUCUGUGCCUUACAGUGAGCUUUCAUGCAGUUGUACAUACUUUUAUGAUAUUGCAUAAUCUGUAGGGGACACCAUGCAAGACAGUUAUGUGAUUGAUAACUAUACAGACAAUUAAUUGUAAUGCUUUUAGAGGAGGAGUACACUGUGCUAAAUUUGGAAUAAAGUGCUUUCCAGAAAUGAUUUUAGUAGCCA